rnacentral:snoRNA from 1 species
AACCCAUGGUGAGGGCAACUUUUUAGUAAGCCCUUGUAUCUCUAGCAUGCAUCGUAAAGUGUUUCUAAAUCCAUCUGUACAAAAGAAGAGAUACCAUUACGUAAUUU